rnacentral:tRNA from 1 species
GGCGGGUUGCCCGAGCGGCCAAUGGGAGCGGACUGUAAAUCCGCCGGCUUACGCCUUCAGAGGUUCAAAUCCUCUACCCGCCACCA